rnacentral:rRNA from 1 species
GACGAACGCUGGCGGCGUGCUUAACACAUGCAAGUCGAACGCUGAAGACCUGGCUUUUGUUGGGUUGGAUGAGUGGCGAACGGGUGAGUAACACGUGAGUAACCUGCCCUCUUCUUUGGGAUAACGCCCGGAAACGGGUGCUAAUACUGGAUAUUCACUGAUCUUCGCAUGGGGGUUGGGGGAAAGGUUUGUUCUGGUGGGGGAUGGGCUCGCGGCCUAUCAGCUUGUUGGUGGGGUGAUGGCCUACCAAGGCUUUGACGGGUAGCCGGCCUGAGAGGGUGACCGGUCACAUUGGGACUGAGAUACGGCCCAGACUCCUACGGGAGGCAGCAGUGGGGAAUAUUGCACAAUGGGCGAAAGCCUGAUGCAGCGACGCCGCGUGAGGGAUGGAGGCCUUCGGGUUGUAAACCUCUUUCGCUCAUGGUCAAGCCGCAACUGUGGGUUGUGGUGAGGGUAGUGGGUAAAGAAGCGCCGGCUAACUACGUG